AGCUUUAGGUAAAUAUCUAAGGUUUGACCUGCCCAAUGUACAGAGUUAUACUCAAAAAUGAAUGGCCGCGGUACUUUGACCGUGCUAAGGUAGCGUAAUCAAUUGGCUCUUAAUUGGGGUCAGGAAUGAAUGGAGUCACGGGGCUUGACUGUCUUUUUAUUAAUAAUUUGAAGUUACUAUAUAAGUGAAAAAGCUUAUGACUAGAAAAAGGACGAGAAGACCCUUAGAGUUUUACUAAAAUUAUAAGUUAUUACUUAUAUCAGUUUGGUUGGGGCAACCUAGGAUGCAGAAAUAUUAUAAUCUCUUUAAUACUACAUACCGAUUAUAUUAAAUUUGAAUAAACUACCUUAGGGAUAACAGCAUAAUUUUAUAUUGAAGUUUGUGACCUCGAUGUUGGACUAGGAAACUAAAAGGCUAGCCGUCUUU
rnacentral:rRNA from 1 species